UGAUUUUCUUCUCUUGUGUUCCAGGGACCAGAGGGCCCUCGGGGUGACACGGGCCCUCCAGGACCUCAGGGUCCCCCUGGACCCCAAGGACCAAGUGGUCUGUCCAUUCAAGGAAUGCCUGGUAUGACGGGUGCUAAAGGAGAAAAAGGAGAGACUGGCCUUCCUGGCCCACAGGGUGUCCCAGGAGGCAUUGGUUCACCAGGACGUGAUGGCUCUCCAGGCCAGAGGGUAAGGACCUGCCCAA
rnacentral:lncRNA from 1 species